rnacentral:rRNA from 1 species
CCUACGGGAGGCAGCAGUGAGGAAUCUUCGUCAAUGGGCGCGAGCCUGAACCAGCCAAGCCGCGUGAGGGAUGAAGGUUCUAUGGACCGUAAACCUCUUUUAUAAGGGAAUAAAGUGUGGGACGUGUCUUAUUUUGUAUGUACCUUAUGAAUAAGGAUCGGCUAACUCCGUGCCAGCAGCCGCGGUAAUACGGAGGAUCCGAGCGUUAUCCGGAUUUAUUGGGUUUAAAGGGUGCGUAGGCGGCCUUUUAAGUUAGCGGUGAAAGUCUGUGGCUCAACCAUAGAAUUGCCGUUGAAACUGGGGGGCUUGAGUAUGUUUGAGGCAGGCGGAAUGCGUGGUGUAGCGGUGAAAUGCUUAGAUAUAACGCAGAACCCCGGUUGCGAAGGCAGCCUGCCGAGCCAUGACUGACGCUGAUGCACGAAAGCGUGGGGAUCAAACAGGAUUAGAUACCCGAGUAGUC